UAGUAGAGUUUUGCAGGACCUGUAGUGGC
rnacentral:piRNA from 1 species